UAAGAACGCUGGCGGCGUGCUUACACAUGCAAGUCGAGUGCGCGUCCGUAGCAAUACGGAUGGCGCACGGCGCACGGGUGCGUAACACGUGGGCAAUCUGCCCUCCGAUGGGGAAUAACUCCGGGAAACCGAAGCUAAUUCCGCAUAACACUCCUUGGACUCCGGUUCGGGGAUUCAAAGCAGCAAUGCGUCGGAGGAGGAGCCCGCGCCCGAUUAGCUAGUUGGUGAGGUAACGGCUCACCAAGGCUAUGAUCGGUAGCUGGUCUGAGAGGAUGGCCAGCCACACUGGAACUGAGACACGGUCCAGACUCCUACGGGAGGCAGCAGUGGGGAAUCUUGCGCAAUGGGCGAAAGCCUGACGCAGCGACGCCGCGUGGGGGAUGAAGCUUCUCGGAGUGUAAACCCCUUUCGACCGGGACGAAUGCCCGCAAGGGAGUGACGGUACCGGUAGAAGAAGCCCCGGCUAACUACGUGC
rnacentral:rRNA from 1 species